rnacentral:rRNA from 1 species
CCUACGGGAGGCAGCAGUGAGGAAUAUUGGUCAAUGGCCGAGAGGCUGAACCAGCCAAGUCGCGUGAGGGAAGAAUGUCCUAUGGAUUGUACACCUCUUUUGUCAGGGAGCAAAGUCACCCACGUGUGGGUGUUGGAGAGUACCUGAAGAAAAAGCAUCGGCUAACUCCGUGCCAGCAGCCGCGGUAAUACGGAGGAUGCGAGCGUUAUCCGGAUUUAUUGGGUUUAAAGGGUGCGUAGGCGGGUUAUCAAGUCAGCGGGAAAAUCGUGGAACUCAACUCCAUCCAGCAGUUGAAACUGAUGAUCUUGAGUGGGCGAGAAGUAUGCGGAAUGCGUGGUGUAGCGGUGACAUGCAUAGAUAUCACGCAGAACUCCGAUUGCGAAGGCAGCAUACCGGCGCCCGACUGACGCUGAAGCACGAAAGCGUGGGUAUCGAACAGGAUUAGAUACCCCAGUAGUC